rnacentral:rRNA from 1 species
UUGAAAGGGAAACGAUUGAAGUCAGUCGUACCAGCGGGAAAUCAACCUUUCGAGUGGGGGUUUUGGAGUUUUGAAGAGUGUCAAAACCUUUGAGAUUUCAAAAUAUUCGCUCUUUUGGUGUACUUUCUCGUGGGUAGGUUAACAUCGAUUUUGAUCAUCAUAAAAAGAUUGGAGGAAUGUAGCUUCGAUCUUGUAUUGAAGUGUUAUAGCCUUUGGUAAACGUGAUGAUUAGGAUCGAGGAUUGCAACGAAUACCCUUUUGGGCUAUCCGCCUGAUCUCUGAUACGUGGCCUUGGUAUCGAAAGCUUGCUUAUGGUAUUAAGGUAUUACGGUCAAAAGGUUAGAACGGAUUACAUUCGUUAAGGAUGUUGACGUA